GGAUGCAUAGCUCAGUGGUAGAGCAGUUGACUGUUAAUCAAUUGGUCCAUGGUUCGAAUCCAUGUGUGUCCGC
rnacentral:tRNA from 1 species